UGAAAUUUGCAGUGCUGCUACCUCUGGGACUUCUGUUUAUAAAGAUGAUGAUGAGGAGGAGAUGGAAGACGCAGUCACCUCCAACACGGAUCUGCCCAAUGUUAUUGAACUUCUAGACGACGACGAGGAUGUGCCCCUAAGGCCCACGGGAAGGAGGGGCAGGACUUCGAGCAGGAGAACAUCAACUAGCAAGACGCCUCAGUCGACGCCAGUGACGGAACCGGUGAUUCAGCAGUCCGAGGACAUCAACCGGGCUUCUGUUACCUUUGACGUCCCAUUGUCAAGUGCAUAGGCUUCAGCGUCGACUGCACAGGCUCUAGCUAAUCCACCGUCUUCACUUUUCACCACCCAUCACGUCCCAGAGGACCAAGUGAGUACUGCCAAGGAAGCUAUAUGCCAGGCAGGCAUCAUGAUGGAGCAGAUGAAAGUGGUUCGCGAGGCUAGUCAAGCUGCUUAUGACGCCAGCUCAGCAGUCCAGACCAACGUCCAG